GCCUCCUUAGCUCAGUUGGCUAGAGCAUCCGCCUUGUAAGCGGAAGGUCACCGGUUCAAGCCCAGUAGGAGGCU
rnacentral:tRNA from 1 species